rnacentral:rRNA from 1 species
UACGUAGGGGGCAAGCGUUGUCCGGAAUCAUUGGGCGUAAAGCGCGCGUAGGCGGCCCGGUAAGUCCGCUGUAAAAGUCCAGGGCUCAACCCUGGAAAGCCGGUGGAUACUGUCGGGCUAGAGUCCGGAAGAGGCGAGUGGAAUUCCGCGUGUAGCAGUGAAAUGCGUAGAGAUGCGGAGGAACACCGAUGGCGAAGGCAGCCCCCUGGGCUAGCACUGACGCUCAGGCACGAAAGCGUGGGGAGCAAACAGG